rnacentral:rRNA from 1 species
AUUGAACGCUGGCGGCAUGCCUUACACAUGCAAGUCGAACGGUAACAGGUCUUCGGAUGCUGACGAGUGGCGAACGGGUGAGUAAUACAUCGGAACGUGCCUAGUAGUGGGGGAUAACUACUCGAAAGAGUGGCUAAUACCGCAUGAGAUCUACGGAUGAAAGCAGGGGAUCGCAAGACCUUGUGCUACUAGAGCGGCCGAUGGCAGAUUAGGUAGUUGGUGGGAUAAAAGCUUACCAAGCCGACGAUCAGUAGCUGGUCUGAGAGGACGAUCAGCCACACUGGGACGGAGACACGGCCCAGACUCCUACGGGAGGCAGCAGUGGGGAAUUUUGGACAAUGGGCGAAAGCCUGAUCCAGCAAUGCCGCGUGCAGGAUGGAGGCCUUCGGGUUGUAAACUGCUUUUGUACGGAACGAAAAGCCCCGGGUUAAUACCCUGGGGUCAUGACGGUACCGUAAGAAUAAGCACCGGCUAACUACGUGCCAGCCGCCGCCGUAA